rnacentral:rRNA from 1 species
UACGUAGGGGGCGAGCGUUGUCCGGAUUUAUUGGGCGUAAAGAGCUCGUAGGCGGUUCGAUAAGUCGGACGUGAAAUCUCCACGCUCAACGUGGAGGGGCCGUUCGAUACUGUCGUGACUCGAGUCCGGUAGGGGAGUGUGGAAUUCCCGGUGUAGCGGUGAAAUGCGCAGAGAUCGGGAGGAACACCCGUAGCGAAGGCGGCACUCUGGGCCGGUACUGACACUGAGGCGCGAAAGCGUGGGGAGCGAACAGG